rnacentral:rRNA from 1 species
UUGAACGCUGGCGGCAGGCCUAACACAUGCAAGUCGAGCGGAUGAAGGGAGCUUGCUCCUGGAUUCAGCGGCGGACGGGUGGGUAAUGCCUAGGAAUCUGCCUGGUAGUGGGGGAUAACGUCCGGAAACGGGCGCUAAUACCGCAUACGUCCUGAGGGAGAAAGUGGGGGAUCUUCGGACCUCACGCUAUCAGAUGAGCCUAGGUCGGAUUAGCUAGUUGGUGGGGUAAAGGCCUACCAAGGCGACGAUCCGUAACUGGUCUGAGAGGAUGAUCAGUCACACUGGAACUGAGACACGGUCCAGACUCCUACGGGAGGCAGCAGUGGGGAAUAUUGGACAAUGGGCGAAAGCCUGAUCCAGCCAUGCCGCGUGUGUGAAGAAGGUCUUCGGAUUGUAAAGCCCUUUAAGUUGGGAGGAAGGGCAGUAAGUUAAUACCUUGCUGUUUUGACGUUACCAACAGAAUAAGCACCGGCUAACUUCGUG